rnacentral:rRNA from 1 species
GGCGCACGGGUGCGUAACGCGUAUGCAAUCUACCUUUUACAGGAGAAUAGCCCAGAGAAAUUUGGAAUAAUGCUCCAUAAUAUCAUUUAUCAGCAUUGGUUUAUGAUUAAAGCUCCGGCGGUAAAAGAUGAGCAUGCGUUCUAUUAGCUAGUAGGUGAGGUAACGGCUCACCUAGGCUACGAUAGAUAGGGGCCCUGAGAGGGGGACCCCCCACACUGGUACUGAGACACGGACCAGACUCCUACGGGAGGCAGCAGUGAGGAAUAUUGGACAAUGGAGGAAACUCUGAUCCAGCCAUGCCGCGUGCAGGAUGACUGCCCUAUGGGUUGUAAACUGCUUUUAUAUAGGAAGAAACACUCCCACGUGUGGGGGCUUGACGGUACUAUAUGAAUAAGGAUCGGCUAACUCCGUGCCAGCAGCCGCGGUAAUACGGAGGAUCCAAGCGUUAUCCGGAAUCAUUGGGUUUAAAGGGUCCGCAGGCGGCCUGUUAAGUCAGAGGUGAAAUCCUACAGCUCAACUGUAGAACUGCCUUUGAUACUGAUAGGCUUGAGUUAUUGUGAAGUGGUUAGAAUGUGUGGUGUAGCGGUGAAAUGCUUAGAUAUCACACAGAAUACCCAUUGCGAAGGCAGAUCACUAACAAUAUACUGACGCUCAUGGACGAAAGCGUGGGGAGCGAACGGGAUUAGAUACCCCGGUAGUCCACGCCGUAAACGAUGGAUACUAACUGUUCGACCUUCGGGUUGAGUGGUCAAGCGAAAGUGAUAAG